rnacentral:lncRNA from 1 species
CCAGGCACUGCCUGGCCUGGACGCUGGGGUGGUGGCUGGGCCGCGAUGGAGUCGGGGUGGGACGUGCUGCGCGCGCUGGGGACCGUGGCCGCCGCGUGGCUGCUGCUGCGCGCGGCGUGGGGGGUGGGCCGCGCCGUCUACGUCUACCUGCUGCCCCCGGUGCGCCGCGGCGACCCGUGGCUCCGGUCGCAGGGAGCCUGGGCAGUGGUGACAGGAGCCACUGCAGGCAUUGGCAAGGCUUAUGCGCACGAGGUGAGCAGGGACACCAGGUGUGGUGUGUGGGGUGUGGGCAGGAGCUUCUCAGAGCUGCUUGCCUAUAGCCCCCCAACUCAUCUGAGCAUUGUGUGAUCUAGUCUCAGAUGCCCCCUCCUCCAGGAAGCCUUCCAUCUGCCCACCCCGUACCUUAGGUCAGGUGUUCACAGUGCCCCUCUACUGUUUCUCUCCUUUCAUAUCACCACCCUAAUUCAUGAAUUCAAAUCAUUUUUAUUGACCACCCUCUAUGUGCCAGGCACCAUUCCAGGCACUGGAGAUGCAGCGGUGAACAAAAUAAGUUUAAAUAAAUGAAAGGACCUGGCCUCAUGAGGUUAUGUUCCAAGGGGAGACAGCUAGACAGGUGUAAAGAGAUACCUAAAUAAAACAGCGGACAUGCUGAGGAUACCUUCUGUGGCACCCACUGGACUUUGAGCCCCAGGAGGGCAGGGCUCUGGCUGUGCCGAUCCACAGGCUGGCCAUGGGGAC